CAUGGCUCCGAGCGUGCGCGGGGCUCCGGCCGCCGGAAGUGCGGCGGCUGGCUCCCGGGCGUGGCAGGGGCCAACUCACCCAACCAGCCACCCAACGGCCCGCUCUUCCUCUUUAACUUAGGGGAGCGGAGGGCGGGGCGUGAAGGCAGCGGGGGCGUCGGUCUUUUCGUCCGGUAAAAUCCUAGGCCCUCCUCGGGCGCCGGAGCCACUUCCGGAGCAAAUGUCAAGCUUCGAGAGGGCGGCUGGAGAGGCGCGCGCGGCGCCGGCGGCUCGGCGGCCUGGGGAGGACCAGGAGGCCUGGGAGGGCGGGUCCGCGGCUACAGCUCACGGCCCUCAGCCCCCUCAGCCCAGGUGGCCACGCGCUACUAAUGAGGAUUCGCUGGCUUUUUUCCCGACUCGCGUCGGCCGACCAAAUUCUGUGCUCUCUGUUCCCUAGUAGUUCUACCUCGCGCAGAAGACUUAAGCCGUCAGUAGGAGUCACCGAAGUUAGAAGUUACUUGAAGUUACUUUGUAUUCACCUCAGAAAGAAAGUACCCCCAGGCCAGUGGUGUGUUGAAGGUGACUUGAACAGUCUCAUUAAAAUUGACUCUUCCUCAGGAAGGACUUAUUCUUGACUUCUUAUCCCUGGGACAAUGCACCAAAGUGAGAUGCUGGAUAAAACCCCUGGAGAAAAUUACAUGGUCCAGUGCCAUCAUCAAAUGUAGGAUUUCAUGGAUGUUAUAAUGCAUUCCUAAGAAGGUUCUGCUAUAUUGUUCUCAUUACAGAGUGCUGGAUCAGUCUUUUUCAACAUUACUUUCAUUGAAUUCAGAGUUAAAGACUCCCGUAAGAUUUGUUAUGUAAAGACACCUGGAUUGGUUGAUCCAAGCUGUUAGAUAAAGAUUCUGGUAAUGAGUGGCGUCUGUUGUACUGGAUAAGAAGGAUUCUUUACAGAAUUCUGUUUAACAAAGCUUAUUUUUGCCUUGGUAUGCCAUGAGUAAUAAAAAGCACCAUUUAUAAAUACUUACAAAUGCCCAAUACAAAUUUUAAGGCACCAACAUGUACAUAAAGAAACAAAUCCACUUCUGUAGUUGUGGCAUUACUAUAGGCCAUACUUUCUUUACUUUUGUAUAAAACCAUUUAGGAUUAGACACUAACCCAAAUGCCUUAAGAGUCUUGGAAAGGAAAGCUACAAUAGAUUAACAGUAACACUGUCUCUGUAUGAGUUACUAAAUCCCUGAGCAGGUGAAGUCUGAGUUAAGUCUUGAGGGGCAGAUGGGAGUUGGCCCAGAACUGAGGUAGGAGAGGACAGGACAUUGCACGUGCUGGGUGUCCAGGCAUCAUCCUCCAUGCCAGAGGACAGCAUGGGGGUCACUCAAAUUCAGGGAACUACCAACAGUUUCUGUGAGGUUUGGGCAUUAUUGGGACAGGGGUGUAGGGAGAGAUGAGGCUGGAGAAGCAGGUGGGGCCUUCAAGAUCCUGAAGGAUCAUUACCACCCAUACUAAUAUGCUGGGGGUUUACUCUGGGCAGCGGGAGCCAAGGAGGACUGUUAUGUCCUCUGAGGGUCAUUAUCUGAUCGAUAUUUCGGAAAGAUCAUGAUGGAGACUAUUAAAAUUGUAUUGCAAUCAGGAAUAUACUUUAGACUCAUGGGGGUGGGUGGGAGUGAAGGGAUUUGGUAAUGGAUGAGACCUGGGGCAUGGAGAGAGGAGGAGUCAGGGUGUCACUCGGUUUCUGAGCUUGGAUGGGGGAUGGUGGAAGGUACUCUUUGAAGUGGGAAAAGAAGUGUUUGGGGGCAGAGGGAAGAAAGGUGAGCUCUGUUUUAGAGAUACCUAUGGAGAUGUCCAGUGUGCAAAUAGAGAAGUCAGGAAUUUGAGAGAGAGACCUGAAAAUGUCUUUUGAUUUAAUGACACAGAACACAUUAGCGACCUUAACAAAUACUGCUUAUGUGAAGUGAGGCUGGAGGCCAGACUGGAGGUUGCAGAGGGAUGAGUGGCAUGUGGACAAAUUCAUACAAACAGAAAUAGAAUGACUGAAGAGGGGAGAGGGCAGCAGCCAGGGGUGAAGAAAGGAUUGUUUGUUUUUUGAAAUAAGGAUCUUUCUUUGUUUUUUUUUAAAUUAAAUACAGAGAAAAUAUCAAUUGUACAUGCUGAGAAAAUUUAACAACACAGAAGUUAUAAAAAUAAAAGUAAAAACUUGUCAGCCUGCUUUUUAACCAGACUCUUCAGCUGUGGGCCUGGCAUCUACCAUUAAGCACUCUCCACUUCUGGCCCAUUUCUGUUUAAACCUGUUCAAGCCUCUUUCACCCAAAACAACAAUCAAUAAUUAUAGUAGAAACCCUCACUCCUAUACUACUAACCCAUUGCUAUCCCUUCUCUUUCUACCAUGGCCAAAGUUUUCAAGAAGAAAAAACAAACACAUUUUUCAACUCUUUAUGUUCAAGCCCCAGGUACUGUUUGAAUUGUCAUCCACAACUACUAAAUUUAGUAGAUAUUUGUCAAGCCUUGUCUUAUUUAAUCUCUUCACAGCAUUUAAUAGUAUUGAUUACUUUCCUUUAAACUUCCUUUUCUCUUGGUUUCCUCAGCAUCAACUCAUCCAAGUUUAAUUCCUGUAUCUCUGGAAAUUUGCUUCUUUGUGGAAUCAUUUACUUUCUUAUUGAAUUUUGUGACAUCUGUCCUCUGCCCUCUUUUCUUUUCAUGUGGCAUGAUCUGGCAGCCUUAGUUAUUCUUUAACUACAUUGUGGAACAAAAUUUGGGUUCAAAUCAGACUCUGUCCCUUCCUGACUGAAUGUUUGGUUUUUUGAAACAAUGACCAGUUCUCCAAUUUUCCGAUACCAACUGGGUGUUCUAUAAUUUAUUUUUUUUAAUUUAUUUUUAUUUUUUUGUGGUACGCGGGCCUCUCACUAUUGUGGCCU